AGGACGGUUAGCCAUAGUUCAGCAUUAGCAUUAGCAUAUCCUAGUCUUUAGCAUAGCUUUUAGUGUUAUACAUACUUAUUUAGUGUUAGUGUGCCUGGUGCUGUAGUUUGCAACCAGCAUUUUACCCGCGAUUCUGCACGUCUCCGUUUGAAGAGGGAGGCCGUGCCCACCGUGGCUCUUCCGCGAUUUAGAUGCAGCCCACCGACUCUGCUCCCCCACCACGGCGGGCUCCAGUCUGAGACUAAAUCUGCCCAAGACAUUGGCUGUCAGACUGAUUUAGUAGUCUGCAAGAAUGCACUUGUCCAGGCUGACAUGAAGCCUUACCGGCAUAGCAAAGCCAGCCAGAAGAGCUCCCAGCUGCUGUGUGUCUGGUGACACAGGGACCAUGACGGAAAUUCAUCUUCCAGAAAGUCCCAGAGCAGCGUCCACACCCCUGACGAUGUGAGGUGUCUGCUGUAGAUUCCAGCUUCCACCUCAGUGACAGUGCAAGCUCAGUGAACUGUUCAAGGAGUCUACUGAUUCUGGCCCUGUGACACUUGGUGGUGACGUGUGAGCUGAUUCACCUGGACACUCAGCAAAAUAUGGACUACACCAUGAGGCAGGCACACGUUAAUACUUAUAAGAGCACAUAAGCCUGGCUGAUCACCUGAUAACUACUGUCAUCUGGUUGUGACAGCAUGAGGAUGUCCUCACAUACCUGUAACCUAUCAGCUCAUCUGGCAGAAUAGAGAGAGAAGAAACAACACCACAUCUCCUGUUCCUGGAAAGCCUUCAGCCAUCCUUCGAUGACUGAGGACCUCCAUCAGCUCUGUCUCCUGUCUGCCUACAAUUAUUAUAAUAAAUAAUGUGUUUGACAAGUUU